CUUCUUUCUCUAUAAAUUCAACGCUCUCUCUUUCAUCUACUUCCGAACACCACCAACCAGAAUCCACACGAUUACGCAACUCCCUCCGCCAUUUUGAGCUUCACCGGAGAAACUUCUUCCGGCGUCUUCCACCAGCUCACCGAGCACCACCACGAAACCUUCCACUGACCACCAUCUUCCGUUAAACACCGCGGGCACGACCAUCGUCACCUACCAAACCCGCCGUGAACGGAACAACCACCACUACUAUUGGCUUCCCGUCGCCGGCAACAUCACAUACAACCACCCACAUCCAAACCACAAACCUCAAAUCUACCUUCGGACUACCUCCACCCUAACACGAUCCUACAAAUCUAUGACGAACACACCUUACACCACCACUCCGCCACCACUGUAGGACGAUUUCGACUCAAUAUGUAAAAUUUGAGCUGUUGUUAUUCUUGUAGUAAGAAAGAAGGCAUCAGUAUUGCCUAAAGAGGAAAUAUGUUUGGUUGCGAGGGGCGGAUCCACGUGAUAACUCAUAUAGGGGUUAUUGUUAUAAUAAGCGACCCAAGUUCAAAAUUAACCUAGAAAAUGUAGCUCUGGAUAUACAUACAAAGAAAGCUGUUGUUACUCUUUUAUCUUAUUCUGGGGAGCAAGAGUUGACUCAAUGUUGUGUUGUUAUCAUUGAAAAUGAUGCCAGUAAUUGUCAUACUGUUUUGACAUCUGCAAAGCUCAUCCAGUGUCGUACUGAACAAAAUGUGUUGGAAGAUAAAUUGGCUGAUAGUCUUAAGGUUAUCAUAUACCUGUAUGAUAGUUCAUCAUAUGAGGGACAAGUAUGUGCCCAUGAUUUUCACUAUAAUAUCACUUGGAUACAGUUUCAGUCCGAUUCAUCCUUCCCUACGGCAAGGAUCAGACAAGUGGAUGAUUACAUCAAUGUUAAUCCAGCUCAAGACAAGUCAUCUCAUCUUCGUCCACAUUCUACCCAUUUUAACCUUGUUCCUGGUCAUGCAAUAGUUGCCGUGGGGCGCUAUUUUACCAAACCAUUUGAUCUCAUGGCUGCCCCCGGAGAAUUUGACUUAGUUAUAUAGAUUGAGUUGUUCUAAUGUAUUGCUCCUUGUGAUGAUGAUUUUGACUGUAAUGAGCUCUUCAAGGGGACUUGUAGGAUCACAAAGGUUAUUUCUCUCCCCUUCUAUCUGCUAAUGCUUGCUAAAUUUUAAUGAUAUUUUUUAUUGAGAUGUAUGAUUAUGAUAAACCUAUUUGGUUUUACUAUAUGAUUGAGAGCUUGUGGGGUUUUAC